AUGGCGUACUUUUUGUAGAACGGUCCGGCGAGUUACUAAUGCCAGCGAGGUUAAGAUGUCAGAAGCAUCGGAGCCGAAGGGAAACCAAGUCUGAAUAGGGCGUAGAGUUGGUAUUAGUAGACCCGAAACCGGGUGACCUAUCCAUGUCCAGGUUGAAGGAACCGUAAAAGGUUUUGGAGGACCGAACACACAUGUGUUGAAAAACGUGGUGAUGAGGUGUGGAUAGCGGAGAAAUUCCAAUCGAACUCGGAGAUAGCUGGUUCUCCUCGAAAUAGCUUUAGGGCUAGCCUCGAGCUGGAGUCUAACGGAGGUAAAGCACUGAACUGACGCGGGGCCCAAAAAGGUUACCAACUCAUAUCAAACUAAGAAUGCCGUCAAGAUACCCUCGGGAGUCAGUCUGCGUGAGAUAAGUCGCGUGGACAAAAGGGAAAGAGCCCAGACCGACAGCUAAGGUCCCAAAGUACGUGUUAAGUGGAAAAGGAUGUGGGAUUUCAUAGACAACUAGGAUGUUGGCUUAGAAGCAGCCAUACAUUUAAAGAGUGCGUAAUAGCUCACUAGUCGAGAAAACCUGCGCCGAAAAUGUAACGGGGCUAAAACACGACACCGAAGCUACGGAUUCCUUACAAAGUAAGGAGUGGUAGAGGAGCAUCCUGCAAGGACGAAGCCAAAGUGAGAGCGAUGGUGGACGAAACAGGAGAGAGAAUGCCGGAAUGAGUAGCGAGAUACAUGUGAGAAACAUGUAGGCCGAAUAUCUAAGGAUUCCUGGGUAAAGCUAAUCUUCCCAGGGUUAGUCGGGGCCUAAGGCGAGGACGAAAGUCGUAGUCGAUGGAUAACAGGUUGAUAUUCCUGUACUACACAUAAUCAGAACUGUGGGGACGCAGGAGGAUAGGGAAACCGGGGAAUGGAAAGACCCGGUCAAGCGUAAAGCUGUGGGAGAUAGGCAAAUCCGUCUCCUGUAAGUGAAACGUGAUGAGGACUGAAAAAAAGUAAGGAAGUUUCCGAAUCCACACUGCCGAGAAAAGCCGCUAUUGCGUUAUGUGUACCCGUACCGUAAACCGACACAGGUAGAUGAGGAGAAAAUCCACAGGCCGACGGGAGAAGUGUUGUUAAGGAACUCGGCAAAAUGACCCCGUAACUUCGGGAUAAGGGGAGCCUCGCAAGAGGCCGCAGAAAAGAGGCACAAGCAACUGUUUAGCAAAAACAUAGGUCUAUGCGAAACCGUAAGGUGAAGUAUAUGGGCUGACGCCUGCCCGGUGCUGGAAGGUUAAAAGGAGAGGUCAGCGCAAGCGAAGCUUUGAAUUCAAGCCCCAGUAAACGGCGGCCGUAACUAUAACGGUCCUAAGGUAGCGAAAUUCCUUGUCAGGUAAGUUCUGACCCGCACGAAAGGCGUAAUGAUUUGUGCACUGUCUCGACAACACGCCCGGUGAAAUUGAAGAACCAGUGAAGAUACUGGUUACCCGCAACAGGACGGAAAGACCCCAUGGAGCUUUACUGCAGCCUGAUACUGGGAUUCGAUGAUAUAUGUACAGGAUAGGUGGGAGGCUAAGAAGCGAGAACGCUAGUUUUCGUGGAGCCGCCGGUGGGAUACCACUCUUAUGUCAUUGAAUUUCUAACCUGCAUCCGUAAUCCGGGUGAGGGACAAUGUCAGGCGGGCAGUUUGACUGGGGCGGUCGCCUCCUAAAAGGUAACGGAGGCGCUCGAAGGUCACCUCAGAAUGAUUGGAAACCAUUCAAAGAGUGUAAAGGCAAAAGGUGGCUUGACUGCGAGAGCGACGGCUCGAGCAGGUACGAAAGUAGGACUUAGUGAUCCGG
rnacentral:rRNA from 1 species